rnacentral:rRNA from 1 species
UACGUAGGUGGCAAGCGUUAUCCGGAUUUACUGGGUGUAAAGGGCGUGUAGGCGGUUUAGUAAGUCAGAUGUGAAAUUCCCGGGCUUAACCCGGUAGCUGCAUCUGAAACUACAAAACUUGAGUACUGGAGAGGAUAGUGGAAUUCCUAGUGUAGCGGUAAAAUGCGUAGAUAUUAGGAGGAACACCAGUGGCGAAGGCGACUAUCUGGACAGUAACUGACGCUGAGGCGCGAAAGCGUGGGGAGCAAACAGGAUUAGAUACCCUGGUAGUCCACGCCGUAAACGAUGGAUACUAGGUGUAGGGGGUAUCGACCCCCCCUGUGCCGGAGUUAACACAUUAAGUAUCCCACCUGGGGAGUACGGCCGCAAGGCUGAA